rnacentral:rRNA from 1 species
UGGGGAAUAUUGCACAAUGGGGGAAACCCUGAUGCAGCGACGCCGCGUGAACGAAGAAGGUAUUCGUAUCGUAAAGUUCUGUCCUAUGGGAAGAUAAUGACAGUACCAUAGAAGAAAGCUCCGGCUAAAUACGUGCCAGCAGCCGCGGUAAUACGUAUGGAGCGAGCGUUGUCCGGAAUUAUUGGGCGUAAAGGGUACGCAGGCGGUUUAAUAAGUCGAAUGUUAAAGAUCGGGGCUCAACCCCGUAAAGCAUUGGAAACUGAUAAACUUGAGUAGUGGAGAGGAAAGUGGAAUUCCUAGUGUAGUAGUGAAAUACGUAGAUAUUAGGAGGAAUACCAGUAGCGAAGGCGACUUUCUGGACACAAACUGACGCUGAGGUACGAAAGCGUGGGGAGCAAACAGG